GUCGGGCACUCGCCAUCAUGAUUUCAUUCUACGCCAAAAGAAGUAUAAGUAAAAAAGAGAGACAUCACAUCACCGUAAUUUUCUUGCCCCUUUCUUUUGUCUCCAGAUAUCCGAAAAUUAUUACGUGGAUCAGAUCCACCGUGAACUUAGAGUAAAAUAACUUUAUCUAAUAAUUUCAUACGACGGUAAAAUUAAUUUACCUUAGAUGAUUUCACCCA
rnacentral:lncRNA from 1 species